rnacentral:rRNA from 1 species
UGGGGAAUAUUGCACAAUGGGCGCAAGCCUGAUGCAGCAACGCCGCGUGAGUGAAGAAGGCCUUCGGGUCGUAAAGCUCUGUCCUGUGGGACGAAACAAAUGACGGUACCACAGGAGGAAGCCCCGGCUAACUACGUGCCAGCAGCCGCGGUAAUACGUAGGGGGCAAGCGUUAUCCGGAAUCACUGGGCGUAAAGGGUGCGUAGGUGGUUUUUCAAGUCAGAAGUGAAAGGCAGUGGCUUAACCACUGUAAGCUUUUGAAACUGAAGAACUUGAGUGCAGGAGAGGUAAGUGGAAUUCCUAGUGUAGCGGUGAAAUGCGUAGAUAUUAGGAGGAACACCAGUGGCGAAGGCGACUUACUGGACUGUAACUGACACUGAGGCACGAAAGCGUGGGGAGCG